rnacentral:rRNA from 1 species
CGUAACGGGGAUUUCUUCUUCGGAGCACCGGAGACAGGUGGUGCAUGGUUGUCGUCAGCUCGUGUCGUGAGAUGUUGGGUUAAUGUCCCGCAACAGAGCGCAACCCUUAUCUUUAGUAGCCAGCGGUCAUAGGCCGGGCACUCUAGAGAGACUGCCAGGGAUAACCUGGAGGAAGGUGGGGAUGACGUCAAAUCAUCAUGCCCCUUAUGACUUGGGCUACACACGUGCUACAAUGGCGUAAACAAAGGGAAGCGAUCACGUGAGUGUGAGCAAAUCUCAAAAAUAACGUCUCAGUUCGGAUUGUAGUCUGCAACUCGACUACAUGAAGCUGGAAUCGCUAGUAAUCGCG